rnacentral:rRNA from 1 species
UACGUAUGGUGCAAGCGUUAUCCGGAUUUACUGGGUGUAAAGGGAGCGCAGGCGGCACGGCAAGCCUGAUGUGAAAGCCCGCGGCCCAACCGCGGGACUGCAUUGGGAACUACCGGGCUGGAGUGCCGGAGAGGUAGGCGGAAUUCCUAGUGUAGCGAUGAAAUGCGUAGAUAUUAGGAGGAACACCAGUGGCGAAGGCGGCCUACUGGACGGUGACUGACGCUGAGGCUCGAAAGCGUGGGGAGCAAACAGG